CCCAGCCCCAGAGCUCCCAUUUCUUAAUUAUGGAAUCAUACAGAUCAGUCUUCAGGACUGGACUCUAUCACUCAGUUACUGCUUAAACUUCAGCAAGUGUUGUAUCCUCUUAGAACCUCUGCUUCUUAAUUUACCCCAUAGGGAUAACAAGUUCGAAUUCCCAGGGUGGUAGGGAUAAUGCCAUGAGGUCAUGCUUGUAAAGCAAUUUAGUGUGAUGCUUGGCAUCUAACAGUCUAUCAGUAAUGCUGUUGUUCCUGUCGUUAAUGUUAUUAGGAUGGAUGGUAUUGCCAGUGUUGAGAGUACUAAAGGCCAAGUGCCAUGACAAGAAAUCAGGAUACAAGGGUGAGUAUGUCUAUGCAGGCAAUUCAUGCAGGUAAAGCACAGCAGCGGGCAACAGGAGACAGAUUCAGGCAGCACAGUUGCACCUGUUUCUGCUUUUGCUCAUUCUCUGCCUCCAGUCACUUGUGUGACUGCAGACCUUACCUACCAGGCCAAAACCAGAGAUCACAUUUACGUGUGAGAUCAUGUCUACCUCUCCAACAACUCUCCUCCACCAAAAUUUAACUCAGCUGGCAUUCUCACAGAUGUUCUGAUGGAUAGCACUGGCUGAACAGGUUGCUCCCUCCAAAGCACAUGUUUCAACCGUGGAGCUGACCCAUGUAAGGAUUUCCAAUAAGUUGUUUAGCUCACAGAGACCCUGAGAGCUAAUAUAGUGAUCGUUUCCUUUGUGUGGCCAUCCCAACUAGAAAGACAAAAGUCUCAACUCCAACAGAGACACUCCCAUGGCAAAUCCAGAGGGUUUAUUUUCAUUUCAGCCCAACCAUCACUUCUGUCCCUGAGAACCUUCACUUGACCAGCAGAUUAAAUUAUAACUAUUAAAGAACUCAAUACAUUUGGGGCUUUCCUGUUUGUUUAAAAUGAAAUGUGUAAAAUGGGAAGGAUAGUAAUACUUAUCACAGGAAAUUCUACAAGAGUAAAGUCUAGGUAUUCUAAGGAUGGCUUGAAGCUGCCUAUAGGAAAUUAGCUGUUUAAAUUAAAACAUAUGAUUAUACUUCUGAUGAAGAUGAAUGCUUGGUACACAUUUAUGUACCCGUUUGAGGCAAUUGCAAACACGACCUCCAAGAGACACAAAAAGAUUCUUAAUAGCAUGUCCACUCUGUGAAAGAAUAUGGAUCAGUAAAGAGGAAUUGGAUCAGUUACAUCCAAACCAUCUAUAACCAAUAACAUAUAUAAGCAAUGCUUCAACCAGCAACAUGCUGGUAAAAGUGUAACAAUCAGGGCUUUGGGGGUAAGGCAAAGUGAAGCUCUUUUCUGUAGCUUUUACCCAUUUCUGUAAUAUGAAUAUACCCACCAGGACUGAAGCCACUGAUCAUUGAGUUAGGACCAGUUCUGUAUAAUUGGUGCAAAUGAUUCCAUCAAUGACUGAGGCUUCAAGCUCUGCCCUCUCUAAGCUAAGCAGCAUGGCAGAAUGAAAAUACCUUGGACCAGCAGCUGGAAAGCAUAGCUGACGUCUCAGUUUAGAUAGCUGUGAACCCACUUGGGACACUUAUUCUAGCAAACUAAAUUUUGCAUCUAAAAUCUCUACAAUCUCUGUGAGAUUGCAAUGAAAUGAAAAUACUUCAUUAAGGUAAUUUAAACUCUAAAGCUCUAUACUAAGCUUUAGCUCUCAUUACUAAGGCUUUUUAAAUACCUGGAUCUAUUUUAAUUAGGGUGCUUAGAAAUCUAUGACUUCUGUCUGACACCUUAGACAGAAGGUGUUCAUUGGGUAUCCAGAGCCAUGAUCUAGCCUACUCUAUACUAUCAUUUUGUUCACUAAUAAAAUCUAAUAUGACUCAUUAAUAAGUCAGGAACCUCAUAACAGCAUUCAUGUCAAUGUUUGACUGCUACAAUCCUAUAGUCCUAUCAAUUCACAAUGGAGCAGAAAAAUUCUUUUGCCCAGUAUUUUUACUAUGCCUAUUCUAUGUUUACUUAUGUUUAGAUACACAAACAUUAACCUUUGUGUUACAAUACUUGUGUUACAAUAUUCAGUAUGGUAAUGGGCCAUGCAUAUGUGUAACCUAGGAGUAAUGGGCUAUGCCACACAACCUAGGUGUAUGGUAGGCUAUCAUGUGUGUGUAAGUACACUUUAAGAUGUUCACACAAUGACUUAAUCACCUACCAAUGCAUAUCUCAGAAUUUACUCCUGCCAUUAAGUGACAUAUAAUAGCAAAUUCUCAAUGGAUCUAGAGUUACUCUAAGAAUGGAGAGCCUCAUGAGAAAUGCAGCUAGUGUUAUCUCUAAACCUAUCUGAUCAUGGAGCAGACAAGUAUGACCUUUCUUCUGGAAUUAAAUUUUGAGAAUUGCACAUUGUAUAAAAACGUUAAACUCAGGAUGGGGAUGUGGCUCAAGCAGUAAUGUACUCGUCUAGCAUGCACAGGGCGCUGGGUUCGAUCCUCAGCACCACAUAAAAAUAAAAUAAAUAUGUUGUGUCCACUGAAAACUAAAAAAUAAAUAUUAAAAAAUUCUCUCUCUCUCUCUUUUAAAAAAAAAACAGAAAAACAAAAAAACAUUGAACUCCAGGUUCCAUUAAUUUAGUUCUAUUAAGACCUUCAAAAUAUCUAGACAUUGAGCUAGAUUUCUAGUUAUGAGCACUUGUUCAGCUUCUCUAACCCUAAAUUUGUCUAUAUGGAAAAUAAACUAAUAUCCUUGCCAUAGUCAUUUUACAAGAAAUAAAUCUGUUUUUUGUGAAUGAGAAGCAUUUAGCUUCUCUUCCACUCAGAGAUAACUCAUUAUAGAUUGACAUUAAUUUGCUUUAUGGGAAUAUAUCUGAAAAUGUUGAAAUCCCAACAGGUACCUAUGAAACACAAUCACUAUAGAAAGGUAAGUGGCAUUAAUAAAUGAAAGCAUAUCAGAGAUUUUAUUUUUCAUUUUUUGGUGCUGGGGAUUGAAACCAGAGCUUCAUGUGUGCUUUGCACACAAUCUACUACUGAGAUAUACUCCCAACCCCAAGAUUUUUAUUUUUGAAAAAGAAAUUAUUUCUGUGGUUUGCAC
rnacentral:lncRNA from 1 species